GGCGGUACAGAUUUAUGGGGUUCAGUUUGAGUUAAUUUAUCUUUGUCUUUAAAAAUCACCCUUCAUGCAGCCUUACAAGCUGAAAAUAUUUUCUGUUUUCUUGAUUUUAGUCUGCAUCAUAUUGAACAAACAGAAGCCUGGAGUAACCCGAUUUGAAUUUUAAACUGUAUCACAGCCUCACUUGACACAGAUUUCUGAUUGGCUGAUCACGGUGGGAGGGAAAACUCUGUGGUUGACGUCACCAACGGGCCGGAAUCUGCAAGCGGGAGAAGUGCAGAGAACGAGAGACUUUUGACGACCGUUUGUCGUAUUUUUUCUUCGUUUUAACAAUCCGUGGGAUGAAUCUCCAACAUUUUUUUUGCUUGUCUGGAAAAGAUUCAAGUAAAAUCUUUGAAGUUUGCACGGUGAUCUAAAUUCUACACGUGAAAAUGAGUGAAUCAGAACCCAUGUUCCUCCACACUGCCAUUAUGGAGGUCCUACCAGAGCCACAAAAGACAUCCUGGAAGAACACUUGCAGUCCAUUGGAAUAAAUGGAGUUGUAUGAGGAUCUACGAUUCAUAGAAGAGGCUGACUUGCUGCCAGCUUUGAGACCUGUUCAAGCCCGGAAACGUCUUGCUCUUUGGAAAUUGAAAUACCAAACGCCAGAGAACAGCACAUCAUCAUCUGUUGAGACCUCACCAACACAAUCAUCAUCACUUUUGUUAUAGUCACCGAGGAGUUCGUCAUCCACAUCUUCCAAAAGCCGAGGACUGUACAUACAUUGACUGGGAGGACAGCUUUGAAAUUCCAUGGAAAAUGAUGAAAGCAAGACGUUUUUCCAAACUCUAAAAGGCUGCAGAUGAUGCGGGGAGAGCAGAGUGGCUGCUCAGAAGAGAUGAGAUGUUAAAGAGAUGCGCUUUCUUCUGCUCUGCUACUUUAAUGAGGAGGAUGCCAUGUUCUUGUAGAAGAUGCAGACGAGGUCCAGCUGCAGCAGGUGCCGUUGACUCCAACUGUUAUUGUAUGUGGACAGUCUUGCUUUUCCCCAAGGAGGUUCAUGCUCAUUUGGAACCGCUCCAUCGUACACAACAACAUUGCAGCACUGUGCCUGAUGUUCAGAAGCUACUUCUGCUUUAACCGUCAUUAUCCAACUGAGCUGGCUUCAACCCUGGAGUUUCUGCAAAGGGCUGCUCAUCCCUGGUCCUUGAGAUCUACCAGCCUGCCUGAUUUCCAGCUGAUUAGCUGGACCAGCUUAUGUCCUGAGAUGUGCCACUCUACCUGGUUGGGAACAAAUUGAAGAGGCCAAGCUCAAGAAAGCCGUUGUCAACAAAUGUAGGGCAGAGCAGGUUCUAAGACCACUGCUAUGAUCUACAGUAUGCAGACUGGUUUCUCUUCCAUCUUUUUUCUUAUUUUUUAUCUUAAUUUGGUUCUCAAAUUGGUCCAUGGAUUUGGUAGGCUGCAAGUUUAGGAGAAUGUUUUUAUCAGGUACUUUUUUAUGUGGUUACAUAAUCUUGUUUUUUUCCUUGUACCUCAGCAGUGAUGUCAGUGUGUUUGUUGUUUAAAAUAUGGAAGUUUUCUUUACCAUCAUGUCAGCCACAUUUAGUACGCCACAGUUCAUGUACUUAAUGCAUUUAAUAUUUUAAAAAGUGUUUAAUACUGCUACCACAAUUCAAAUGCUGUACUGAUGAUGGUGCUGCCCAAAUAAAGUGUAAAGCAUUUACA